rnacentral:rRNA from 1 species
AACGCGAAGAACCUUACCCAGAUUUGAAAUGCAGAGGACGCCGGCAGAAAUGACGGUUCCCGCAAGGGCCUUUGCACAGGUGCUGCAUGGCUGUCGUCAGCUCGUGCCGUGAGGUGUUGGGUUAAGUCCCGCAACGAGCGCAACCCUUAUCAUUAGUUGCCAACACGCGAGGUGGGGACUCUAAUGAGACUGCCUAGGUUAACUAGGAGGAAGGUGAGGAUGACGUCAAGUCCGCAUGGCCUUUAUAUCUGGGGCUACACACGUGCUACAAUGGUCGGUACAGAAGGCAGCAAGACCGCGAGGUGGAGCAAAUCCCUAAAGCCGAUCUCAGUUCAGAUUGUAGUCUGCAACUCGACUACAUGAAGCUGGAAUUGCUAGUAAUGACGUGUCAGCAACAACGUCGUGAAUACGUUCCCGGGCCUUGUACACACCGUAGAGAC